UAGCCGGCCGGAUAAGUCUCUUGAGAAAUCUGGCAGCUUAACUGUCAGGCUUUCAGGAGAUACUGUCUGGCUCGAGGCCGGGAGAGGUGAGAGGUACUUCAGGGGUAGGGGUGAAAUCUUGUAAUCCUUGAAGGACCACCAGUGGCGAAGGCGUCUCACCAGAACGGACCUGACGGUAAGGGACGAAAGCUAGGGGCACGAACCGGAUUAAAUACCCGGGUAGUCCUAGCCGUAAACGAUACUCGUCUAGGUUG
rnacentral:rRNA from 1 species